rnacentral:SRP_RNA from 1 species
CCGUGCUAGGUGGGGCGCUAGCGGUGCCCUGACUCCCGAAAGGGAUGACCCGUAAUCCGCUAUAGCGGGGCUGAACGCCCUGUUGAGAGCCGUUUGCGGCAGAAAAGCCCAUUCGGUGGACGGUGAUGAAAGUUGGGUCCUCUGCAACGUUGCGCCGUGAACCUGGUCAGGUCCGGAAGGAAGCAGCCAUAAGCGAGUUUGCAGCGUGUGCCGGAGGGUCGCCUGACUGGAGCCGUUAGCCAGAGUGUGCCCUGCCGUUGCGAAUCGAGACAGGGAUGCACGG